GUUCAUGUGGCCCCCUGUGGUGAUGCUGUUCCCUUCCCCUGUUUGAGGGACAUUUCCAUGACACCCUACGCCCAAUGUGCAGCAACAGAAGGACUCUAGACAGUUUGUCCUCCCACACAGAGCCUCGGCGUUGACUGCACCAAGCUUCAGCGAGUCAACAAAGCUCAGGUUAACCGAGCAACGUCUUUCACCGAGUUGAUGACCUUCCAGCAGCAUGACGUCCAUCUCUGAAUGUGUCUCUGGGAACAGUCCGUAAAUCACAGAGUCCUAUGUGACGGAGUUGUUCAG